rfam:Triticum urartu cultivar G1812 contig1243084, whole genome shotgun sequence.
CCGAUCGGGGAGGACGAUCUUAUCUCUUUCAUCGUCGCCGGGCUUGAUAUGGAGUAUCAGCCCAUCAUCUCUGCACUCGACGUCCGCACCGAGCCCAUCACCGUCGAUGCACUCUUCUCGAUGGUGGCAAACUUUGAUC